AGCCUUUAGCAAAACAAGUAUUAAAGGUCCCGCCUGCCCAGUGAAAUUCUUUUUUAACGGCCGCGGUAUUCUAACCGUGCAAAGGUAGCGUAAUCACUUGUCUUCUAAAUAAAGACUAGUAUGAACGGCUAAAUGAGGACAAACCUGUCUCAUGUGACCAAUCAGUGAAACUGAUCUUCCAGUACAAAAGCUGGAAUAACAACAUAAGACGAGAAGACCCUGUGGAGCUUUAAACCAACUACCAAUAACCCGAACCUGGCACAAGGUUUUAAGUUGGGGCGACUUUGGAACAAAAUACAACUUCCAAGCACGGGGACACCCUUCCCCCACCAAGGCCCACAAGCCAAAGCAUAAAACGACCCAGUAAUACUGAUCAACGAACCAAGUUACCCCAGGGAUAACAGCGCCAUCUUCUUCAAGAGUCCAUAUCGACAAGAAGGUUUACGACCUCGAUGUUGGAUCAGGACACCCAGGUGGUGCAGCCGCUACUAACGGUUCGUUUGUUCAACGAUUAACAGUCCUACGU
rnacentral:rRNA from 1 species